ensembl:lncRNA
AUGAAUGGAGUGGAACCUGUUUUGUCUUUGACAGGACGCUGUGGACUUUUGAGGAACGUUCCUGUUCUGGAAGAAGCUUGUUUGAGGAGAGGCUGGCUCUCUGGGGAGAGAAUGGGGCUCCCUGGAUGGGGAUACACUCAUCCUUAUUCACACAGCACUCAGCUUGUCAUGCUGAUCCCACCAAAAAAAAAAUUGUUAAGUUCCUGUGGGCAUUCGGUGGUGCUGGGCAGGGAGCUGAAUAACAGAAUUUAAUUGGACCUCAUGCAGCUGGAUUGUGGCAACCCAAAAAACUUCUCUGGUUUUUGGAACCCAGACCAUUUUUGGGGUACUGUCCCUGCUCUGGACAGCACCCUCUUCUCUUGUCUGACAACUGCUGCCUUUCUCCAUUCCUGGAACUCUUCAUAUCUAGAAACCUCCAGGCCAGAAGCUUGUCAACAUAAAGGAGGAUGGGGAGAAAGACUGGAAAUGGUCAAUGAGGACCUUGUUUUUAUGAGCACAGGCAGCAUGUGAAAUCGGGAACAUGUGCAGGUAUUUUUUUUUUCAGUCUGCUUACCCCAUGAAGAAGAGGAUACUUUCAACUGGCAGCUGAGCAGAUCUAAGAAUGCUGACAAAAAGCCCUAACUUGAUAAUUCCGCCAUCUUUUAACCCUGGCUACGAGCAAGGGAAAAUAUGCUGUAAGCCUCUGGGUGGUGAGGGAAGACUUGGAUCAUAAUUUUUGCACUGGGGACCAACAUUUGGCCUCUGUUCUUUGUGUCUUUGCUUUUGUUCUUUCUUGCUCUUAAGGAAGGAGCCUCAAACUAGGUUUUGAUCUAAUGGUCUUAGAAAGGUCAUUAGAUUGCGCCCAAAGAGGUCUGGGAGUGGACAGCUAGGUCUGGGAGGAGCUUCACCCAGGUUAACAAUGGAUUAAAAGUGUCAAAGAGGGAGUCACUGCAAUUCAUUCAUUGGCUAAGGGAUAUUCAGAAAUGAACUUAGUGGGGCCAAUGCUUUUAAGACUGAGCCCACUCUCCCCAGGGACCAAGGUGAAAUGUGGAGAGUGUACCCCCAGAUGUUGGGGGAAAUGCUUUGUAGUUUCUGUUCUUUAGAGGUCUCCUCAGUAAAUACAACCUCAGUAAAAGCUAAUUUAUGCUAAUGAGUUACAUGAUCCUGGGGUGGUAAUCACUGGAAGGUAUUCAUAAUAUGAGAGAGAUCAGAUUUAGACAUAGGAGGUCGUGGGGUCAAAUAUGAUCUCAGAAACUUCCUAGUUGUUUGAGCUAACCCUCAGCAAGUCACUUAAUCCCCAUUGCCUAGCCCUUACUAGUCUAAGAACCAAUACUUAGUAUUAAUUCUAAGACAGAAGGUGAGAGUUUAAAAAACUAUAAAAAUAAUAAUAAUAUAGGGGAGAUAUUAACUGUAAUAAUGAAAUUAUUGAAAUGAAAUUUCAAUGAAAUGAAAUGGUAAUGAAAAUUGGAGACGACAUACCAGAAUAGGAGCCCGAACCAGUGUCAUUAUAGAAAGCUCCCACUGCCCCUCAGCAGUUUCCCUAGAACAGUGUUGGCGAAAUAUUGGCACAUGUGCCAGCCCCGGCAUGAGGAGCUGCCCCAUUCCCCCUCUUCUCAGCAUCCAAGGACACUUUUUGCAUGCCCUGCCCCUCUGUCUGUUUGCCCAAAGCAAGCCCUUCCUCCCUCUGCUCUCUAAGGUGAUGUGGGGGCUCACAGACAUCUUGACACUGUCCUAGAAGUUUGAGAAGUGAGAAAAAGAUAACCUCAUUUUGGGAACCUGAGUGAUUGGGAGAACAAGUCCAGAGUCAAGCUAAUGAACCAAUCAUUCAAUAAGCAAAGAUUUGUUAAGCACUUAUUAUGGACCAGGCACCAGGCUAACUAUUAGGGAAACAGGCAGUGCUGAAACAAUCCUCCUCAAGGAUCUUAUAUUCUAACUGGGAAGACAAUAUGUGUGUCUAAAUACACAUAUACACACACAUACAGAACAUAUAAAUGAAUGGAACAGUCCUGAGGAGCACACUAGGAAUGAGGGGAGGAAUGGGGCUCAGGACAGACUUCAUUUACAAUGCGGCACUCAAGCUGAAUUUUGAAGGAAAUGAGAACUUCCAAGAGAUAGAAGAGAGAGGGGAGAGUGGACAAACAGGGCACAGGCUCAUGCUGGAAGUUUCUAUGUGCUAUGGUACCUUGGGAGCUUUCUCUGACCUGUAACAUCACAGGUAGGAAACCAACUGGACAAAUCUGAGUGCCAGCCCUACCCCUUCCUGUAAAAUCUCCAGCCCUCACCAGCUUUGUUGCUAUCCUAGCAGAAGAGCAAGGUUGUCCUGAUGUAGAACGAGGAGAAGUGAACGGUGCUGGGUAUGACCUGGACACCUUAGAACUGGAGGGAGACUUCUCAUAGGGUCUCACUGACUCUUCUUUCUUAUCUUGCUGUGUGGCCUGAAGAUAUAGCAUCUUCCACAGUCCAGUGACUUAGAUAUUGAUAUGCUCAGUUCUCUGAACUCCUCUCUGUUUUUUUUUUCAUGCUCUGGUCUUUGGGUCAUCAAGUUAGGCCUUCCUUAUGCCUUCCCUUGUGUGACUUAAAAGGUCCUGUAAUAAAGACCCAUUGCUUUUAGCA